rnacentral:rRNA from 1 species
UACGUAGGGUGCAAGCGUUGUCCGGAAUUAUUGGGCGUAAAGAGCUCGUAGGCGGUUUGUUGCGUCGGCUGUGAAAUCCCGAGGCUCAACCUCGGGUCUGCAGUCGAUACGAGCAAACUAGAGUGUUGCAGGGGAGACUGGAAUUCCUGGUGUAGCGGUGAAAUGCGCAGAUAAUCAGGAGGAACACCCGGUGGCGAAGGCGGCGACCUGGGUCGAUACUGACGCUGGAGGUGCGAAAGCCGUGGGGAGCAAACAGG